GAGCACUGUUUGUACUAAAGUUUAGUUUACUUUUGAUCUGACUGUCGAAUCAUUUAAAAUCUUUUAUGGAUCUAAAUUCUGAUGGGGUGAAGCAGUAUUUGGUUGCAUACGAGAUGUUAGAGUGAAACAAACAUAAACAUAUACUACAUAACUAACCCAUAUGUAGUCGAUCAACAUUGGUCAACAAUAGAAUUGAAACUAGAUUUACUGAGGAGUUGAGGUCCAGAUGGUCGAGUAUGUCCAUGAUAAUGUUGAAUACAAGGUGUCACGUGACGGUGGUGGAACACUUUAUGGGGAUGGUAGAUAUCUAACAUGCUUUACAAGUUGUGUGUGUAAACAUCCGGGAAAUUGUAAAAAAAUAUGAAUGAAAAGUUAAUAAAGAAAAAUAUGAUUUGGGCAGUGGAAUUUGGAAGGAGAGAAUUUAAUUUGUUAAAUUAAAUUUGGUUUUGUAAAUUAAGAGGAUGAGUCCUACUAGUACAUGAAAUUCUGCUCCUAGUUGGUGAUGAGUUUUAGUUAUAAAUAGAUGAAGGGUUGAGACCCUAUAGGUAUAACUUGUGUAAGAGACAAUAUUAUGGUUUGAGAGGAGUGCUUUGUGUGCACUUUGUAAAUACAACU
rnacentral:lncRNA from 1 species